GCCCUGCUUAAUUCCUAGGGAUUUUAUAAUAAUCAAAUGAGAUCCUGUGUAUGGAAAACUUUGUAAACUGUAAGUUGAUAUACAACUAAAUAUUAAGGUGUUCAAUAUUUGUUUCUAGUGCUUGCCUAAGGUAGUACACUUUACAAAUUAGCACAAAUCCCAUUCACCUCUCUAAACAAUCACUGCUUUGUUUUGUUGGUACAUGAUUUUACUUCUGUUUACCUAUUAAUAGGUAUACUAUUAAUACCUCAUUAGCUAGUUUGUUGGUAUGUUGAUUUAGGUAUACCAUUAAUAUCCUGGUAUCCUGAACUGAUUGUGGAAAAACAUAUACGUAUCAUUUUCCCCUGGGGAUUACUGAUGGCACAAAAAAACCCAAAGUGCCCACAAGUAAUUUCUUCCCCUUGUUAAGAAGCUAAAGAUAUGAUUAACACCAGCUUUACCAAAACCCAGAGUGCUUCCAUUUGUUUGAGGGGUGUCUUCAAUGUCUUUUAAAAAAAAUCAAUCUGCCUUCAUUUAAAUAUAAAAGCUAAUAGAGUAUAUAUAGCCUUUUGUUGGGGGGAAGUGGGAGAGGAAACUUAGUCACAACCCAGUAAUAAAGUUGGGAAUAUCUUAAGCCCAAGAUUCCUUAUUAGUUAAGAUGCUAAACUGUCCAUUAUUCAUUAGAUAGUUGCAGCUGGGUUCCCUGCUUAAACUUCCCAGACUGUCAGGAGAGUCAACGCAUCUGGCCUAUGAUAAAGUUUAAUUUACCAGUUAGGCACAGUAAGAGAUUAACAUAAAUAACUACUAAUAAUAGAAAACAAUUAUAACAGUAUGCCAACAUCACUACUCUUGCAUUUUGGGGCC
rnacentral:lncRNA from 10 species